rnacentral:misc_RNA from 1 species
UUUCCGUAGGUGAACCUGCGGAAGGAUCAUUACUGAGUGAGGGCCCCUCGGGGUCCAACCUCCCACCCGUGUUUAACGAACCUUGUUGCUUCGGCGGGCCCGUCUCACGGCCGCCGGGGGGCAUCUGCCCCCGGGCCCGCGCCCGCCGAAGCCACCUGUGAACGCUGUCUGAAGUAUGCAGUCUGAGACAAUUAUUAAAUUAAUUAAAACUUUCAACAACGGAUCUCUUGGUUCCG